GAGCCGGAGCCCGGCUCGUGGGAGAGACUGAAAGAGAGGCCCAAGGCUCCAACUUGUAUUGGCUCUGAAACCGCUGCUGGCUCCCUACCCCCCCCGAACCCCCAACCAACAUCACUCGCCGUGUCAGCUCGGACCGGGCCCGUCACCCUCACCGUCAGAGUCCAAACGACAAAAUGCAUUUUUCUUUAAAAAAAACACAAAAUUAACCCACGGAACAAAACCGACCGGUAAUUCGCAGGGAGGAGAGGAGAGUGGGGUGAGGGUCGAGAGUUGUGGACUCACGGGCAGCCUGGGGAGAAUCUCGGCCGAGCAGCGGUGACAGAAAUAGCGAGAGAGUGAGGAAGCCUCCGCCAUAUUCACGUAAAGCCGCCACAGUGACGUACAAUACGGGUGCCCCGGCGUAUCCAACAUAUGACCUCACACGCCAAUUGUGACGCACUUGGAUCUGUCAAUCACCGGAGAGCGGAGGGUCUGUUGUUAUUCGCGACCCACUCGUGUGUCUUAACUCUGGAGUCAUCUAGACUGGAAACUUUAGCUUGCUCUCUCUCCAUAGAUGCUGUCUGACCCAUUGUGAUCUCCAGCAUAUUUUGUCCUUAAUCUCUCCCCUUGCCUGAGGUGUAGUGAUCACCAACGGUUGUCUCUCUGUAAUGAGAGAAAAGCCCUAUGGCCUGUAAUUCUUCCCCACCCCUUUUAACUACCUGCCGAAGGAGUCUGUAAGGAGCUGGCUUGUGACUGGGAACCACAUGGCAGGAGCUGAACGCGCAGGUUGUGUCCUGCAGCAACAGUGGAUCAAGUCUAGACUGGAGCGAAGGCAGUGGAUCAAGAGUGGGCUGGUGAGGCAGCCCAGAGCAGGGUGAUAAGGCAACAGUGGCAAGAUCGGGCCAGUCGGACAACUGGGAGCGGGACGCUGGCAGAAGCAUGGCGACGGUUGGAAAGCCCAGAACGGGCUUUGGCAAGGACUGUUAAACUCUCUUGUUAUCUUUUUUUUAAAAAUCUUAUUCUAACUUAAUGUGAAUGGCACCAUGUAUGUAUAGUGACGCUACGCACUUUUCACUGUAUUUUUGCAUUGAAUACAUGUGACAAUAAAUGAUUCAAUUCAAUAAACUAUUCAAUUCAUUUGU